rnacentral:rRNA from 1 species
CCCCAUCGCAAGAUUGCGGAGAUGCAUCCGUAUGUGAACGUUACCAAACUGUUGCCUCGGCGGGAUCUCUGCCCCGGGUGCGUCGCAGCCCCGGACCAAGGCGCCCGCCGGAGGACCAACCAAAACUCUUAUUGUAUACCCCCUCGCGGGUUUUUUUAUAAUCUGAGCCUUCUCGGCGCCUCUCGUAGGCGUUUCGAAAAUGAAUCAAAACUUUCAACAACGGAUCUCUUGGUUCUGGCAUCGAUGAAGAACGCAGCGAAAUGCGAUAAGUAAUGUGAAUUGCAGAAUUCAGUGAAUCAUCGAAUCUUUGAACGCACAUUGCGCCCGCCAGUAUUCUGGCGGGCAUGCCUGUCCGAGCGUCAUUUCAACCCUCGAACCCCUCCGGGGGGUCGGCGUUGGGGAUCGGCCCUGCCUUGGCGGUGGCCGUCUCCGAAAUACAGUGGCGGUGGCGCCGCAGCCUCUCCCGCGCAGUAUUUUGCACACUCGCAUCGGGAGCGCGGAGCGUCCACAGCCGUUAAACACCCUACUUCUGAAAUGUUGACCUCGGAUCAGGUAAAACUACCCGCUGAUCUUCAGCAUAUCAAUAGGCGAGGGGAUUUUACCGAGUUUUACACUCCAAACCCCAAUGUGAAGUUACAAACUGUUGCCUCGGCGGGAUCUCUGCCCGGGGUGCGUCCAACCCCCGGAACAAGGCGCCCGCCGGAGGACCAACCAAAACUCUAUUGUAUACCCCCUCGCGGGUUUUUUUAUAAAUCUGAGCCUUCUCGCGCCACUCGUAGGCGUUUCGAAAAUGAUCAAACUUUCA